UGAACCAUAGCUUUUAUAGUGUGAAGGAGUCUGCAGUCAGUUUCAGACAAGGAGGAAAAACGCGGAAGUCAUGGAUUUCCCUCACGCCUCCUCACACGCGCCCCCUCCUUCUCUGCCGAGCACGAGCGACACAGAAAAAAAGAGAAGAAGACGUUCAGUUCAAGUGACUUAGAAGACGAGAUGAUUUUCCAACUUCUGGUGUGAAGUGGAGGUCCUGGACUGCAUACGGAAGCCCGACCUGUGGAAGACUUCCUGCAUUAACCCAGUGUUGAAGAAAGAACGGCCCAGUGCUCCCAGUGACUACAGGCCUGUGGCACAAGUCAUGAAGACACUUGAGAGGCUGGUUCUUCAGCACCUUAGUUUGAGUUUAUUUUUAUUUCGAACAUUUAAAAUAACACUCGUUGCAAAAAAAUAACAAAGGUGUCCCCAUGAAAGACAGAAGCCAAUGCCUACAUUGUCCUCCCCCUCCUUUUUAACAAUUCAUAAAUCAUCUUCAUAAGUCAUACAUUUACAUUAUAGCCCCACCCUCCUAACUACUUAUGUAUACAACUAUGUCAAAUUCAUAUUUUAUCUCUUCCUUUGCAUCCUUCAUUCAGAAAUAAUCCAUCACUUAAAUGCGUAUGAAUUUUUCUUAAUCUCAUACAUUUUCAAAGAUUAUUUUCUUAUAUUUGUUUUUAAACUGUGUCUCAUUAUUGCUUUGAGUUCUUCAAACAAAAUGUUUCCCCAGGUUUUCACACAGUAGUUCAUGUAUGGUAAGAACAGUGUACAGUCCAGAGUGUGCAGUGUUUUGGGAUUAAGGAUGUUUCUUGUUUUACCCAGGAUCUCAGUGCAGGCUGAGCCUGUUGUCCAAUAUCACACCCCAAAACUUAUUUUAGUAAACUUCCAGUCUUUACAUUAUCCACUUUUUAUUCUAACAUCUGUAUUUAUUUUACAAUUCCAAACAACAUAAAUUUUGUUUGCUUAAAUUUGAGGACUUAUUUUCACUGAGCCAACGUUUUAUAUAUGAACAGCUCCAUGAGCUGCUGAUAAUCCUCCCCAGAAAAAAAAUAUAUUUGUGUCAAAUACAGAAACUACACAUUUCGGCAUUCUUGUCACAUUGCAUACUGUAUAUCAUGUCUGCACAGAAUAAACCAUUUUGUACCCAGCACUGACCUCUA